rnacentral:rRNA from 1 species
UGCUUACCAUGCAAGUCGAACGGUGAAGCAGAGCUUGCUCUGUGGAUCAGUGGCGAACGGGUGAGUAACACGUGAGCAACCUGCCCCUGACUCUGGGAUAAGCGCUGGAAACGGCGUCUAAUACCGGAUAUGAGCUGCGAUCGCAUGGUCAGCAGUUGGAAAGAUUUUUCGGUCUGGGAUGGGCUCACGGCCUAUCAGCUUGUUGGUGAGGUAAUGGCUCACCAAGGCGUCGACGGGUAGCCGGCCUGAGAGGGUGACCGGCCACACUGGGACUGAGACACGGCCCAGACUCCUACGGGAGGCAGCAGUGGGGAAUAUUGCACAAUGGGCGAAAGCCUGAUGCAGCAACGCCGCGUGAGGGAUGACGGCCUUCGGGUUGUAAACCUCUUUUAGCAGGGAAGAAGCGAAAGUGACGGUACCUGCAGAAAAAGCGCCGGCUAACUACGUGCCAGCAGCCGCGGUAAUACGUAGGGCGCAAGCGUUAUCCGGAAUUAUUGGGCGUAAAGAGCUCGUAGGCGGUUUGUCGCGUCUGCUGUGAAAUCCCGAGGCUCAACCUCGGGUCUGCAGUGGGUACGGGCAGACUAGAGUGCGGUAGGGGAGAUUGGAAUUCCUGGUGUAGCGGUGGAAUGCGCAGAUAUCAGGAGGAACACCGAUGGCGAAGGCAGAUCUCUGGGCCGUUACUGACGCUGAGGAGCGAAAGGGUGGGGAGCAAACAGGCUUAGAUACCCUGGUAGUCCACCCCGUAAACGUUGGGAACUAGUUGUGGGGUCCAUUCCACGGAUUCCGUGACGCAGCUAACGCAUUAAGUUCCCCGCCUGGGGAGUACGGCCGCAAGGCUAAAACUCAAAGGAAUUGACGGGGACCCGCACAAGCGGCGGAGCAUGCGGAUUAAUUCGAUGCAACGCGAAGAACCUUACCAAGGCUUGACAUACACGAGAACGGGC